rnacentral:rRNA from 1 species
GACGUAGGGCGCGAGCGUUGUCCGGAUUUAUUGGGCGUAAAGAGCUCGUAGGCGGCUUGUUACGUCGUUCGUGAAAACUUGGGGCUCAACCCCAAGCUUGCGGUCGAUACGGGCAGGCUAGAGUUCGGUAGGGGAGACUGGAAUUCCUGGUGUAGCGGUGAAAUGCGCAGAUAUCAGGAGGAACACCGAUGGCGAAGGCAGGUCUCUGGGCAGAUACCGACGCUGAGGAGCGAAAGCGUGGGGAGCGAACAGG